GGGAAGGGCAUGUUAAAAUGAAAACAUGACAGCCAGACAAGCCUGUGUAUGAAUCAAACGGAUUUGCAUAUGAAUGGAGUGGAAAUUAGUUGACUUCGUGAUCUGUAAGAUGGAGCUGGAGUCCUACAUGGAGGUGAUGUGAGGGCUUCCAGCCCCAGGUCGGCACAAACUGUCCCAUUGGCAGCCUGCAUCCAUCUGCCUGGUGGGGUUAGAUCCAGACCCGCCUCUACCUUUGGAGCUAUCUGCACUGUAUGGAGCAUGGCCAAGCAUUGGAUUCACAGAGUGUUGCUCUAGGCAACCCAUUCCUCGCAGGACAAGGAUAUGAUGGAGAAGAGAACGGUUGAGAGGCGAUGGAGGGGAAGACGAGAAUGACAGAUCUUUUGCUAAACAGAACAUAAUAAUGGAGAAUGAAGCGCCUGUCAGAGAGGAUGGUCUUUCUCCUUCUUUACAGAUGAGGAUAUGUUAUCACAGGGCUUCUGUCUUCAUAUCACAGGCAGGAAAGAUGGUUGAGUCAGACAGAAAGUUAAGGGAUGCCAUGCUCUCAUUCUUCACCAGGGGGCGUUGUGCUGAAUGCUCACAGUGGAUAGUGGAAAAGUACCGUUAUCACCUCUCCAUUUCUCUCUCUCUCUUCAUUUCAUUCUGUUUCUCUUUGCGUUCUCUUUCUCUCUAUCUCUCCACCUUCCUCUGUUAAAAUAACUUCUCUUAAUAGCUGGUCUCUACUUUACUCUGCUCUGGCUUGGGUUAGCUUGUCAGCGGAGAGAUGAUCAAUUUGCACGCUAGAACAGGUAAUUAGGCCCUUUCACUUCUGGGGCAUGAGACAAGCUGUUAUCUCCCAGCACCUGAGCACCCUCCACACACCCCCAUCACCCUUCACCCUCCCCUAGCUCCCCUCAUCUCCCCCUGGUAAUACCCAGGGCCGUCAAGCUGCAUGUCACCAAAUUAGGCUCAUUCCUCCCACCGAGACACUUUAUAAAGGUCUAUGCCUUCAGUUAUAGCUACAGUUAUAUUCACCACUACCGUUACAGUACAUCCUCUUACAAGCUUUCAACCUCUCAUGUUCCCCAUUAUAGCACUAUAUACACUAUAUACAUGAGAAGAUAGGCCUAGGCCGUUCUCUCUUAGACCCCUUCAAAUACAAUUAGUUAUGUGAAUUACUUAAGAGGAAAGAAAUGACAGAGUAAAUUUUUUCUGUAUCUGAUGUUUGUAAGUGUUAUUUACCAUACCAGCCUUUGGAAUUAGCACUGCAUUAUGUCAGAGGUCUGAACAGCAAAUUCCCCAAGACAACCACACUCUCUACAGCAUCAAGCUAUUAAUUGUAUUUAUUUAUUUGCUUGCAUUCCUCGGCCCAUUUUCUCAUUAUGAUGGAGAGAGGCUCUAUAACUUGUGUUUUAAGGAGCAUUAUGUAUUGCCAGCAUCACAUACACACCUUCAUUAGUAUUCUAGUGUUAAUUCUGUUAACAGAGCACAAUGAUUAAAGGAUAUGUUUUUGUUUUUCACAACCAAAUCUCUGUUUUUUUAUGUAAAUAGCAUGUUAUUGAAGGGUACAAUUUGUGAAUUCACUUGUUUUUUUAAACUCACUUCCUGAUUCUGUUUUGUAGCAUGGGGCAUGUCAUGCCAAAUAGUGUCCCGCUCUGCGUCACAAUGGGAUUCGAUGACGGCUGUUGCCUUAGGGCUGUUGCUAGAACUUGCAACAUUCAGAUUACAUAAUGAACCAAAGUGUCCGUUGCUAUAUUGGUUGCUUGGCUCUAUUUUACCUCGUAAUGGUCACGAAGCAAGGAGGAUGCAGGCAGUUCUAGUUCUGUUUCACCGCAUACACGCUCGCUCAGUCCACGCAAAAUUAUUACAGAAGAAUUGCUCUCCAAGGAUGGUGUUUUUGACGGUGACCACCUGUUGACUACCUGAUGCUUCUGAUAUCCAAACGACUAGAAGAGAACACUUUCUUUACCAAGUAUUUGUCUUUAUAUAAGUAAAUAUUGUUAAAUAGGAAUAAAUCAUUUAAGCUGUUUUUAGAUUGAAGUUGCUAGCUACUGUACUUUAAAAAAAUAUAUAUAUUUUUUACCUUUAUUUAUCCAGGAAGGGCUCAUUGAGAUUUAAAAUAUCUUUUUCAAGAGUGUCCUGGUCAAGAUAGGCAGCACCAAGUCAUUACAAAGAUUACAGACAAACAACAUGAAAAACUACAAGUAAUCUAGUAAAAACCAUAGAAU